AUUGAACGCUGGCGGCAUGCUUUACACAUGCAAGUCGAACGGCAGCGCGGGCUUCGGCCUGGCGGCGAGUGGCGAACGGGUGAGUAAUACAUCGGAACGUGCCCAGUAGUGGGGGAUAGCUCGGCGAAAGCCGGAUUAAUACCGCAUACGACCUGAGGGUGAAAGCGGGGGAUCUUCGGACCUCGCGCUAUUGGAGCGGCCGAUGGCAGAUUAGCUAGUUGGUGGGGUAAAGGCCUACCAAGGCGACGAUCUGUAGCUGGUCUGAGAGGACGACCAGCCACACUGGGACUGAGACACGGCCCAGACUCCUACGGGAGGCAGCAGUGGGGAAUUUUGGACAAUGGGCGAAAGUCUGAUCCAGCAAUGCCGCGUGUGAUGAAGGCCUUCGGGUUGUAAAGCACUUUUGGCGGGAACGAAAAGGACUGUGCCAAUACCACGGUUCGAUGACGGUACCCGCAGAAUAAGCACCGGCUAACUACGUG
rnacentral:rRNA from 1 species